rnacentral:pre_miRNA from 1 species
GGCCGCUCCGACGCCGACUCCGGCCUGCAGUACUCGUGGCUGUGGAAGCUCGCAAACGUCACUCAGAGCCCCUACUCGUACGUGUGGUCUAACGAGUCUGACGGGCCCGAGCUCGUGAACGGACC